rnacentral:rRNA from 1 species
UACGUAGGGGGCGAGCGUUGUCCGGAUUCAUUGGGCGUAAAGCGCGCGUAGGCGGGACGUUAAGUCUGCUGUGAAAGCCCGAAGCUCAACUUCGGAGGGUCGGUGGAUACUGGCGUCCUGGAAGCAGCUAGGGGGAGAUGGAAUUACCGGUGUAGCGGUGAAAUGCGUAGAGAUCGGUAGGAACACCAGUGGCGAAGGCGGUCUCCUGGGGUUGUCUUGACGCUGAGGCGCGAAAGCUGGGGGGAGCGAACGGGG